GGCUGGGUAACAUAAAGGAUUAAUGUACGGAUCUGCAAAAUCUGUGAUGAGCGUUCGAAUCGCUCCCCAGCCU
rfam:Glomus irregulare strain DAOM-197198 mitochondrion, complete genome.